GCCAGACUACGAGGUUGAAUUCACAAUCGUCAUUGGCAAACCGGCGAAGAAUGUAUCUGAGGCUGAAGCGCUCGAUUACGUCCUUGCGUACACUGCUGGGAACGACAUUUCAUUCAGGUACCACCAAAUGGCCGUUUCGCAGUGGAACUUCUCUAAAGGCUACGACAACACGACCCCCAUUGGCCCUUGCCUCGUCGCCGCCCACGCGAUCCCCGCCCCG
rnacentral:misc_RNA from 1 species